rnacentral:rRNA from 1 species
AUUGAACGCUGGCGGCAGGCCUAACACAUGCAAGUCGAGCGGGUGAAGGUAUCUUGCUCCUGGAUUCAGCGGCUGACGGGUGAGUAAUUCCUAGUAAUCUGCCUGCUAGUGGUGGAUAACGUCCGUAAUCGGGCGCUAAUUCCGCAUCCGUCCUGAGGGUGCACGUGGGGGAUCUUCGGACCUCCCUUUAUCAGAUGAUCCUAGGUUGGAUUAGCUAGUUGGUGGGGUAAAGCCCUACCAAGGCGACGAUCCGUAACUGGUCUGAGAGGAGGAUCAGUCAAACUGGAACUGGGACACGGGCCAGACUGCGACGGGAAGCAGGAGUGGGGAAUAUUGGAAGAUGGGAGAAAGGCAGAUCCAGCAAUGGCGCGAGUGUGAAGAAGGUAUUCGGAUGGUAAAGCACAUUAAGUUGGGAGGAAGGGCAGUAAGUUAAGAACUUGAAGUUAUGACGGUACCAACAGAAUAAGCACCGGCUAACUUCGUG